UACGAAGGGGGCUAGCGUUGCUCGGAAUCACUGGGCGUAAAGGGUGCGUAGGCGGGUUUUUAAGUCAGAGGUGAAAUCCUGGAGCUCAACUCCAGAACUGCCUUUGAUACUGAGAAUCUUGAGUAUGGGAGAGGUGAGUAGAACUGCGAGUGUAGAGGUGAAAUUCGUAGAUAUUCGCAAGAACACCAGUGGCGAAGGCGGCUCACUGGCCCAUAACUGACGCUGAGGCACGAAAGCGUGGGGAGCAAACAGG
rnacentral:rRNA from 1 species